rnacentral:rRNA from 1 species
UACGGGGGGGGUAAGCGUCGUUCGGAAUUACUGGGCGUAAAGGGCUCGUAGGCGGCCAACUAAGUCAUACGUGAAAUCCCUCAGCUUAACUGGGGAACUGCGUGUGAUACUGGAUGGCUUGGAUUUGGGAGAGGGAUGCGGAAUUCCAGGUGUAGCGGUGAAAUGCGUAGAUAUCGAGAGGAACACCAACGGCGAAGGCAGCACUCUGGGCUGGAACUGACGCUGAGGAGCGAAAGCGUGGGUAGCAAACAGG